GACGUCAUCACCAUGCGACCCGAGGAGCCGGCCGUGCGGCAGCGGGGCGGGGCGGCCCCGGGGCUCCGAGCGCCGCCUCAGCUUCUGCGAAAUCAUGAAGAAGGAUCUGGAGACGUCCUAGAGAGGUCUGGGGGCAUCCAGGGGGUUCUGGACUCAUCCAGAAGAGUCUGGAGAUGUCCAAGGAGGAUCCAGGGAGUCCCCAGGUGCAGCUCCUUCCCCUCCCCGGCCUCUCAUUGGCUGACGCGCAGCCCAGUCCCGCCCCCGGCCUCUCAACCGGUCAGCGGCAGCGCCGCCGGCCUUCCAUUGGCUGAGGCGCAGCGCGCGGGGGCAGCCGUUGGCAGCCGGCUCGGAGCCGCCCGGCUCUCCGUUCAGCCGGCGCCGCUCCGCAGUCCGGGCCGCCCCGCACGGCACCGCCGACGGAACGGCACCGGGACGGAACCGCGGCACGACGGGAGCGGUGCUGAGCUCUGCGGUACCGCGGGGUGGGUCGUGUGGUGUUGUGGGGAAGCACUGCAGAUGGAAAGCUGCUGUGUGGAGCCCCACAGGAUGAGUUGCAGAGGCCCCUGAAGGAAAAGGAGAAGGAAGGGCAUUUGCAGAGGGAAAGGCUGUCCCGCUGGCCUUUGGUGUUGCUGAACUGGGAGGGGUGGCCAAUGCUUUCUCUUUCCGCUGACUCACGGAUGGUGGCAAAUGCCUUCUGGGGGUGGUUCCAGCAGUGGGAAGAAAACAACUGGCAGCGGAGGGGUAAACCUCUUUGGGCUGCUGAGCUGUGUGCUGAACCAUAAGGAAGGUGGCUGUAAAGGUGUGCCGUGCAGAUGUCGUGUGCCCAGCAGUCGGGCCUAUGAAGAGCAACAAAUGAAGCACCAG